rfam:Erinaceus europaeus unplaced genomic scaffold scaffold00019, whole genome shotgun sequence
GGAUGUGAGGGCGAUCUGGCUGUGACAUCUGUCACCCCAUUGAUCGCCAGGGUUGAUUUGGCUGAUCUGGCUGGCUAGGCGGGUGUCCCCUUCCUCCCUCACCGCUCCAUGUGCGUCCCUCCCGAAGCUGCGCACUCCGUAGAAGAGGACGGCCUUCCCCGAAUAGAGACGGACUGGUCUUCUGUCGAGGGUAUACAGAGUAGCUGCGCUCCCCUGCUAGAACCUCCAAACAAGCUCUCAAGAGUAUAUUAAGUGGCAUCUCCUACUGUAAAAUGGGAUGUUGAUUACUUAGUCACAGUUGGGUUAAAUCAACUUUUACACAUCUGGAGUGAAAUAUCU